rnacentral:lncRNA from 1 species
CAGGCUUCUAGUGGAAGGGACACAUGGACGAAUCGAACAUACACCAGAAUAAGAGGGAUCUAGAGACUGUAUAGGUAUGGGACUAUACGGUUGAAGGAUAGCUUAAAGGAAUUAAUUUGGCUACUCAUAUCAACAAAUGCAUUUGCUUUUCGGUAGCCUAACCCAUAAGAACUCCAUGGUUAAGCGUGCUUAGCUUGGAGUAAUUUAGGGAUGGGUGACCUUCUGGGAAGUUUUCCCGAAAAGUGUGUGAGUGAGGACAAAGCACAUUGGAAAGUCUCGUGUUGAUGUGUGGGGGCAGUCAAUGUUCCCUGUAAGUCGUUGGGGCAUUACAAUCAUCACAACAACCAUAUGAUGACGAUGACUGGGGCAAGGCAACUGGCUGCAAAUUACAGUGUAGGACGAUGUGGCAUAAAACAUCAACCUUCUUCCUCCCAGAGUCUUGUGAAGUCGUGUCUACAGUGCCUUAACCGACCAUAACUCCAACCAACAAAGACCUUCUGAGCCAUAACCACACCAGUUUAGCC